ensembl:lncRNA
UCACUGUUGGCUCUCAGGCUCUGUUAACAUUAUGGCCCCGGUCUCCUCUCCCCUCCUGUCCCGGGAGUGUCUGUCCCGGGGACAGCAGAGGGUGUCCUGCGCUGCCGAGGGGGACGGACCCCACUACAGCUGGAGUCUAGACCGACUCCCGCUGAACGCCACGCGUCUCCUCUCUGGACACAGUAACGCUAGUGACAUCACUCUGGAGCCGGGCCUGUCGGGGCUGAUCACCUGCUCGGUCCGCAACAACGUGAGCGCAGCCGCGGCUAACCUAGCCCUGUCUGUGUGUGACCACCCCAUCCCUAUCGUCGCUCGUUAUCUGAUGGUGGUGGGGCUGCUGCUAGUAGCAUUGGGAGUCUACUGGGCACUGAAGAAAAAAAGAAAACUUCAAGACCUCAAGACAUCCCGCUGUCCUCCAUGGCGACCGGGGGAGCAGGGGAGUGAGGAGGAGAACGGCUGUUCCAGGUGGCUCCAGGCCUCAGGCGGACGCUGGAAGCUAAAGGGCGUCCUAUCCUAGCUGUCUCUGUUGUAUACAGGGAAUGGGUUAACCUAGUGAUUGUAAGUGCUUGUCACUUGGUUCUCUGAACAUCCUUCUGUACUGACAGCGAUAUAUACAGUUUCUAAGUCGCUUCGGAUACAAGCGUCUGCUAAAUGCCCUAAAUGUAAAUGUUAAUGUAAUUUUUUCAAUUAAUUAAUUAAAUUGAUAGCAUAUCAUAUUGAUUGAAUUUUUUUACUUUGCCUUUGUUUUCUUAUAUUUAUCUAUUUUAUUUUAUUAUUUCAUUUUAUUGUAUGGCAAUGUGUUUAUGUGAGGUACUUUGAGUCCGCCUCGUGUAUAUAAGUGCGAUAUAAAUAAAGUUGCCUUGCCUUACUUUCUAGGGGUUGUCAUCUUCUACUGCCAAAACAAACAAUAUGGCUGAC